rnacentral:rRNA from 1 species
AACGAACGCUGGCGGCAGGCCUAACACAUGCAAGUCGAACGAAGUCUUCGGACUUAGCGGCGGACGGGUGAGUAACACGUGGGAACGUACCUUUUGGUUCGGAACAACUCAGGGAAACUUGAGCUAAUACCGGAUGAGCCCUUAGGGGGAAAGAUUUAUCGCCGAAAGAGCGGCCCGCGUUAGAUUAGAUAGUUGGUGAGGUAAAGGCUCACCAAGGCUACGAUCUAUAGCUGGUCUGAGAGGAUGAUCAGCCACACUGGGACUGAGACACGGCCCAGACUCCUACGGGAGGCAGCAGUGGGGAAUCUUGCGCAAUGGGCGAAAGCCUGACGCAGCCAUGCCGCGUGAAUGAUGAAGGUCUUAGGAUUGUAAAAUUCUUUUACCAGGGACGAUAAUGACGGUACCUGGAGAAAAAGCCCCGGCUAACUUCGUGCCAGCAGCCGCGGUAAAAC